rnacentral:rRNA from 1 species
GACUGACGUCUCCGAUGCAUCAGAUGUUUAUUGAUCAUGGCUCAGGACGNCACCGCUGGCUGCGUGCCUAAUACAUGCAAGUCGAGCGAACAGAGAAGGAGCUUGCUCCUUUGACGUUAGCGGCGGACGGGUGAGUAACACGUGGGCAACCUACCUUAUAGUUUGGGAUAACUCCGGGAAACCGGGGCUAAUACCGAAUAAUCUACUUUACUUCAUGGUGAAGUACUGAAAGACGGUUUCGGCUGUCGCUAUAAGAUGGGCCCGCGGCGCAUUAGCUAGUUGGUGAGGUAACGGCUCACCAAGGCGACGAUGCGUAGCCGACCUGAGAGGGUGAUCGGCCACACUGGGACUGAGACACGGCCCAGACUCCUACGGGAGGCAGCAGUAGGGAAUCUUCCACAAUGGGCGAAAGCCUGAUGGAGCAACGCCGCGUGAGUGAAGAAGGUUUUCGGAUCGUAAAACUCUGUUGGUAACGGGAAGAACAAGUACAGUAGUAACUUGGCUGUACCUUGACGGUACCUUAUUAGAAAGGCCACCGGCUAACUACGUUGCCAGCAGCCGCGGUUAAUACGUAGUGGGCAAGCGUUUGUCCCGGAAUUAUUUGGGCGUUAAAGCGGCGCGGCCAGACGGGAGCCCCUA